GGUCCGGGCGUCAGUUACCCACAGCCCGGGCCCGCGCCCCGCCCCCCGUCACCACGGCCACCAAACCCCUUCUGCCGCCUCGCGCUUCCCGAGAGCCAAUCGCAGGUCAUGAUCUCAGGAUCCUGCGAUUCAUCCUUGCGUGGGACUCCGCACUCAGCGUGGAGUCAGCUUGAGAUUCUCUCCAUAUCUCUCUGCCCCAAUCCCUUGUGCUCUCUCUAAAAUAAAUAUCUUUUUAAAAAGAUUAAA